UACGAAGGGUGCAAACGUUGCUCGGAAUUAUUGGGCGUAAAGCGCACGUAGGCGGCUUAGCAAGUCGGAAGUGAAAUCCCACGGCUCAACCAUGGAAGUGCUUUCGAAACUGCUGAGCUUGAGUACGAAAGAGGAUCGCGGAAUUCCCGGUGUAGAGGUGAAAUUCGUAGAUAUCGGAGGAACACCAGUGGCGAAGGCGGCGAUCUGGGUCGAUACUGACGCUGAGGUGCGAAAGCGUGGGGAGCAAACAGG
rnacentral:rRNA from 1 species